rnacentral:misc_RNA from 1 species
GCACCGAGUACACACAUGAUGAAAUGAGGGUUUUUUUUUUGGCAAUUAUUUCAACUCAGUGACUAAUUUCUCUGCAUUAUUCAACACAUUUUUUACAUAACUAAAGCAAAGAACAACUGUUCCUGAACAAAUAACUNCAAAUAACUGCUUUCUCAGUCAACUCCCAUCUGUUGCAGCAGUAUCCUGUCAUCAUGAUUGAGAGUUCAGCCUCUGGACGUCCACCAACUGGUAAAGAUCACCUCUCCGUUGCUUCGUCAAGGGAAGGCUUGUCCUUCUCAGCUCAAUUAGAGAAUAAUCGAUCUCUGCUAUGAUUAUAUCCUGGUCAUGCUCAGUAGUAGCCAGAACUUCUCCAAAUGGUCCUACUAGGGUGGAGUGGCCCCAAGCCACAUAACCAGCUCCAACAUCUCGAGCAGGGGAACAAGUUGCUACAUAUAACUGAUUAUCUGCAGCCCUUGCUCUCUGCAGUAACUCCCAGUGUAACGGUCCAGUUGUCAUGUUAAACGCCCCAGGGUAGCAAAUCAAGUGAGCUCCUCUUGCUGCAUAUAUCAUUGCCAAUUCUUGAAAUCGAAUGUCAUAACAGAUACCUAUACCAAUACGACCAACUUCUGUGUCCACAAUGGUUGGAGUCUGCCCUGCUGUUAAUGUCCUCGACUCUAUAAAGGUAAUCUUCCCGGGAAUGUCAAUAUCAAAAAGGUGUAUCUUCCUGUGUUUGGCUAUCAACUUUCCUUCGGUAUCAAAGACACAACAUGUAUUAUACAACCGAUCCCCAGAACGUUCUGGGAUAGAGCCACCAACUAUGGUGAUCUUCAGAAGUCGAGCAACUUCAGAAAGCAUGGCUGUUGAAGGGGACGCAUUGCUGCCCGCAUCUAUGUCCUCAGCAUAAACUGGGAAACUAUCAUUGGAAUAAGGACUAUUCCAUAUUUCGGGCAAGACAACUAGCUGGGCACCCUUUCCGGCAGCCUCCUCGAUUGCUUUGCGAGCAUGUGCAAUGUUUCUGUCCUUAUCCGCAGUAACCAGUAACUGGCACAACCCUAUCUUAAACUUGGUAACGGGAGGAGUGGGCAAGGGGACGGCGGGAGGAGCCCUGGCUUGCUCAGGCUUGAAAGAGGAAGCCAUUAUUGGAGCAAGUGAAGAGUGGAAUUUGAACUUGUGGUUAAGAUUGAUGAAAUCGCAGGUGGUGUUCUUUUUGAUGUUGUGAUAGAGUGUAGGAGAUAGGCGAGCGAUCGAUUUGGAGUGUAAAAUGGAGGAGCUAUAAUGAGAAGGAGAGAAAGGAGAAUGGUGGAGAUUGAGAUUCUUGGAGCUAAACAGUGAUGAUACUGCUGACUUCAUUCCACUUUCUUCUCUCGAUUAGGAUUCGGAAGGCUAAUCGAUUUCAUGUCUUG